ensembl:lncRNA
AUGUCACGGGUGACAAAAACGCUCAGCAAGCGGAACCCUCUUGACGAGUCACGAGUUUCCCGAGGGAACGAUUUGUGUGCGACACAUCCCACUCCGGUUCCGGGUGCGGCAGAAACAUUGUCCGGCCUGAUUAGCGCUAAUGCACUGCAGGUGCGAGAGAGAGAGGAGCGGCGUGCACAUAGGCUUCCUGCUUUACAAGCAAAGGAUAAAAGGGCUAUUCAGAGGAGUUUCAGCGCGGUGGGUCUUUGUGGAGCAGUUUUGGGCACAAGCUUGCCCAGGGAAGUUAUUUGGGUGUGAAGGUUUCCUGUUGAAGUCUCCGGGGAAAUGGUUUUUCUAUUGAAGUCUGCUGGAACAGAGUUCGUCUGUGGGAAUCUGCUGGACUGAUUUAUCGAUUGGAUCUGCGCUGUGAAGGGAGAGAGAAAGAUAAGUUAAUUGAUUUCAUCUUACAAACAUUCGAAAAGCUUGAAGAGGAUACAGUGAAUGUAAAUCUGACUGUUGGGGAAGCUAUGUGUUUCAGAGUGUGCUGAAGAGGAAUUGAGGAUUGAAUAUCCCCCACGGGAGUGUAACGAAUGGAUUGAGACCUCUGAUCAGCCUUACCGUGUGAGUGAAUUGCAGUGCUUUUGCCUUAUUGUUACACAUUGAUUCAUUGCUGUGGAUUUGUG